UGGUGUCGAUUAGAACCAAUCUUGUGG
rnacentral:piRNA from 1 species